AAUUUUGGACACUGGGGGAAACCCUGAUCCAGCCAUCCCGCGUGCGCGAUGAAAGCCUUCGAGUUGUACAGCACUUUUGUCAGGGUGGCAACUGUUCUGGCCAAGACACGGAACAGAUGACGGUACCUGAUGAGUAAGCACCGGCUAGGUACGUGCCAGCAGCCGCGGUAAUACGUAGGGUGCAAGCGUUAAUCGGAAUUACUGGGCGUAAAGCGUGCGCAGGCGGUUCGGAAAGAAGGAUGUGAAAUCCCAGGGCUCAACCUUGGAACUGCAUUCUUAACUACCGAACUAGAGUAUGUCAGAGGGGGGUAGAAUUCCGCGUGUAGCAGUGAAAUGCGUAGAUAUGCGGAGGAAUACCGAUGGCGAAGGCAGCCCCCUGGGAUAAUACUGACGCUCAUGCACGAAAGCGUGGGUAGCAAACAGG
rnacentral:rRNA from 1 species